rnacentral:rRNA from 1 species
UGAGGAAUAUUGGUCAAUGGACGAGAGCCUGAACCAGCCAAGUCGCGUGAAGGAAGACUGCCUUAUGGGUUGUAAACUUCUUUUAUACAGGAAUAAAAAGGCUUACGUGUAGGCCAUUGCAAGUACUGUAUGAAUAAGCAUCGGCUAACUCCGUGCCAGCAGCCGCGGUAAUACGGAGGAUGCGAGCGUUAUCCGGAUUUAUUGGGUUUAAAGGGUGCGCAGGCGGGCUUUUAAGUCAGCGGUGAAAUCUGGACGCUUAACGUCCAAACUGCCGUUGAAACUGGGAGUCUUGAGUAUGGAUGAAGUAGGCGGAAUUCGUUGUGUAGCGGUGACAUGCAUAGAUAUAACGAGGAACUCCGAUUGCGUAGGCAGCUUACUAAGCCAUAACUGACGCUCAUGCACGAAAGCGUGGGGAUCAAACAGGAUUAGAUACCCUGGUAGUCCACGCCGUAAAACGAUGAUUACUAGUUGUAUGCGAUAUGAUAGUAUGUGACUAAGCGAAAGCGAUAAGUAAUCCACCUGGGGAGUACGCCGGCAACGGUGAAACUUAAAGGAAUUUGACGGGGGUCAUAGCUGUUUCCU